rnacentral:rRNA from 1 species
UACGGGGGGUGCAAGCGUUGCUCGGAAUCACUGGGCGUAAAGCGUACGCAGGCGGCCUAUUAAGUCGGAUGUGAAAGCCCUGGGCUCAACCCGGGAAUUGCAUUCGAAACUGGUAGGCUUGAGUGUGAGAGAGGGAAGUGGAAUUCCAGGUGUAGAGGUGAAAUUCGUUGAUAUCUGGAGGAACACCGGCGGCGAAGGCGGCUUCCUGGCUCACAACUGACGCUCAUGUACGAAAGCGUGGGUAGCAAACAGG